AAAUAGAGCGUCGUAUGCAUAAUUCAAUAUAUCUGAAAUUAUUUUCAGUUGUUAAUAGACAUAGAAGAAAUUUAUACAUGAAAAGGUGACAUGAAAAAUUUAUCAAUAAACAAACGUGAUUUCUAGUUAUGGUUCAUGAUUGGCGAUGUGUAUGAGUUCAAGAUUUCAUCAACACACCAGAGCCAAUGGGUAUGCCCGAUCAUGUGUUCUGAGGACACUGUGAUGUAUACGAGUUAAAGAUGAACUCCUGUCGGAUUUGUUAACGGCUGUUUGAUGAUCAUACAAAGACAGUUAAAGGCAACGAAAAGGAAUGCAAGGGAAUAAAUGCUGCCAGUGAGAAAUAAAAUGACAGUUUAAAAGUUGAGUAGAAAGAUGUACUGUAACCCACAUUACACUAUAAGAGACACUAAGACAGAAAAAGAAAACACUGAUGCCACCAUUGAGAUCAAUGACUGAUAAGUUUUCAUACAAAAAAGAUUGUUUAUAUUGUGGUCAAUCUUUAAUAAGUAAGGGUAAAACAAGGAAGUGUGAUGUUUCGCCAGUAAGGACACUAGAACCUACUGUUUUGAAUAUAUGUAUACAGAGGAAUGACUGUUUGUCUGAUACAGUGAGAGCAAGGAUAGAACAGGUUCACAACUUGCUUGUAGCCGAUGCUCUUUACCAUCAAACAUGUUUAUGCUCCUCUAAUUUCAGAACUGGAAAAGAUAUACCAGAAGAAUUUCAGGUGCUACCAUCUAGUGAUAAAAAGUGAAAGAUUGGUCGACCAGAAAUUACAGAAGCGAGUGACGCUUUGUAAAAGUCAUGACAUUCUUGUGCUUAUGCUUAGCGAAGAUAUUUUACAAAUUAAAAUUUGCAAA